rnacentral:ncRNA from 11 species
GCUUGGUCUAGGGGUAUGAUUCCUGAUUCGGGUGCAGGAGGUCCCGGGUUCAAAUCCCGG